UACGGAGGGGGCUAGCGUUGUUCGGAGUUACUGGGCGUAAAGCGCACGUAGGCGGCUUUGUAAGUUAGAGGUGAAAGCCCAGGGCUUAACCCUGGAAUUGCCUUUAAGACUGCAUCGCUAGAAUCGUGGAGAGGUGAGUGGAAUUCCGAGUGUAGAGGUGAAAUUCGUAGAUAUUCGGAAGAACACCAGUGGCGAAGGCGACUCACUGGACACGUAUUGACGCUGAGGUGCGGAAGCGUGGGGAGCAAACAGG
rnacentral:rRNA from 1 species